UACGUAGGGGACGAGCGUUGUCCGGAAUUACUGGGCGUAAAGGGCGCGCAGGCUGUGCUGCAAGUCGGCUGUGAAAUAUCUGGGCUUAACCCGGUUAUGCGGUUGAGACUGCAGUGCUGGAGUGCUGUAGAGGCAAGCGGAAUUCCCAGUGUAGCGGUGAAAUGCGUAGAUAUUGGGAAGAACACCGGUGGCAAAGGCGGCUUGCUGGGCAGCAACUGACGCUGAGGCGCGAAAGCCGAGGGGAGCAAACGGG
rnacentral:rRNA from 1 species